rnacentral:sRNA from 1 species
UGACGUACAGGUCGCUUUGCUAUAAUA